rnacentral:rRNA from 1 species
GAUGAACGCUGGCGGCAUGCCUAAUACAUGCAAGUCGAACGAGAGGAAGGAAAGCUUGCUUUUCUGAAUCUAGUGGCGAACGGGUGAGUAACACGUAGGUAACCUGCCCAUGUGCCCGGGAUAACUUCUGGAAACGGAUGCUAAAACCGGAUAGGUAGCAGACAAGCAUUUGACUGCUAUUAAAGUGGCUAAGGCCAUGAACAUGGAUGGACCUGCGGUGCAUUAGCUAGUUGGUGAGGUAACGGCCCACCAAGGCGACGAUGCAUAGCCGGCGUGAGAGCGCGGACGGCCACAUUGGGACUGCGACACGGCCCAAACUCCUACGGGAGGCAGCAGUAGGGAAUUUUCGUCAAUGGGGGGAACCCUGAACGAGCAAUGCCGCGUGAGUGAGGAAGGUCUUCGGAUCGUAAAGCUCUGUUGUAAGAGAAAAACGACAUUCAUAGGGAAUGAUGAGUGAGUGAUGGUAUCUUACCAGAAAGUCACGGCUAACUACGUGCCAGCAGCCGCCGUAAUAC